UGGGGAAUUGUUCGCAAUGGGCGCAAGCCUGACGACGCAACGCCGCGUGGAGGAUGAAGGUCUUCGGAUUGUAAACUCCUGUUGAUCGGGACGAAAAGCUUCAACCUAAUACGUUGAAGACUGACGGUACCGGUUGAGGAAGCCACGGCUAACUCUGUGCCAGCAGCCGCGGUAAUACAGAGGUGGCAAGCGUUGUUCGGAAUUACUGGGCGUAAAGGGCGCGUAGGCGGCCUCCUAAGUCGGACGUGAAAGCCCCAGGCUUAACCUGGGAACUGCGUCUGAUACUGGGAGGCUUGGAUUCGGGAGAGGGAUGUGGAAUUCCAGGUGUAGCGGUGAAAUGCGUAGAUAUCUGGAGGAACACCGGUGGCGAAGGCGGCAUCCUGGACCGAGAUCGACGCUGAGGCGCGAAAGCUAGGGGAGCAAACGGGAUUAGAUACCCACGUAGUCCCUGAGCGGGCUGGCAAGGCGCAU
rnacentral:rRNA from 1 species